rnacentral:rRNA from 1 species
UACAGAGGGUGCGAGCGUUGUCCGGAAUCACUGGGCGUAAAGGGCGCGUAGGUGGCGGCCCAAGUCCGUGGUGAAAGCUCGAUGCUUAACAUCGAGUCGGCCACGGAGACUGGGUGGCUCGAGCACUGUAGGGGCAGAUGGAAUUCCGGGUGUAGCGGUGGAAUGCGUAGAGAUCCGGAAGAACACCGGUGGCGAAGGCGGCGACCUGG